ACUUAAAUUGAAGAGUUUGAUCAUGGCUCAGAUUGAACGCUGGCGGCAGGCCUAACACAUGCAAGUCGAGCGGUAGCACAGAGAGCUUGCUCUCGGGUGACGAGCGGCGGACGGGUGAGUAAUGUCUGGGAAACUGCCUGAUGGAGGGGGAGUAAC
rnacentral:rRNA from 1 species